rnacentral:rRNA from 1 species
AUUGAACGCUGGCGGCAUGCCUUACACAUGCAAGUCGAACGGCAGCACGGGGGCAACCCUGGUGGCGAGUGGCGAACGGGUGAGUAAUACAUCGGAACGUGUCCUGUAGUGGGGGAUAGCCCGGCGAAAGCCGUAUUAAUACCGCAUACGCUCUACGGAGGAAAGGGGGGGAUCUUAUGACCUCCCGCUACAGGGUCUGCCGAUGGCAGAUUAGCUAGUUGGUGGUGUAAAGGCCUACCAAGGCGACGAUCUGUAGCUGGUAGGAGAGGACGACCAGCCACACUGGGACUGAGACACGGCCCAGACUCCUACGGGAGGCAGCAGUGGGGAAUUUUGGACAAUGGGGGCAACCCUGAUCAAGCAAUGCCGCGUGUGUGAAGAAGGCCUUCGGGUUGUAAAGCACUUUUGUCCGGAAAGAAAACGCCGUGGUUAAUACCCGUGGAGGAUGACGGUACCGGAAGAAUAAGCACCGGCUAACUACGUG